rnacentral:misc_RNA from 1 species
GCGGCAAAGAAGAAGAAAAAGAAUGGAAAAAAAUAGAGAAAAUAGAAGAAAAAGUGGUGAGGAGAGAAAAUGAACAAAAGUUUGUAAACGCGAAUUAACAAUGGAUUUCUAAUUGAAAAAAGGGCAAGCAUUUUCUCCCCAUAAAUUGGAAGCGGAUUAAAAUAUCGUUGCUAAAUUAGCAACAAAUUUUAAGAUUUGUUACUAACUUUUUU